ACAUGCGUAUAACUUAGCGUUAAUGCACAUAAUCCCAUUAGAGCUCUGCAGUUAAGCGCGAUUGAGCUAGAGUAGUACUAGGAUGGGUGACCGCCCGAGAAGUCCUAGUAUUUUACAUGCC
rnacentral:rRNA from 1 species